CUCAACUCUCAUACACUAAUAUCUUCCAACAAGAAGCACUCACCCUCACAAAAGCUCUCACAAAAUCUCUCAAGGAGAUCCUCUCAUAGGCUUGCCAUGCCAGGGUCCUUGAUGCCCCUGAUCGCUUUUUAUGAUCCAAGCCGCUGCAUCAUGCUGCAGCCUCUGUCCCUAUAUUUACGACCACUCCCAUAAUCAUUUCGGGACACUCUC
rnacentral:lncRNA from 1 species